rnacentral:rRNA from 1 species
GACGAACGCUGGCGGCGUGCUUAACACAUGCAAGUCGAACGGAAAGGCCCUGCUUUUGUGGGGUGCUCGAGUGGCGAACGGGUGAGUAACACGUGAGUAACCUGCCCUUGACUUUGGGAUAACUUCAGGAAACUGGGGCUAAUACCGGAUAGGAGCUCCUGCUGCAUGGUGGGGGUUGGAAAGUUUCGGCGGUUGGGGAUGGACUCGCGGCUUAUCAGCUUGUUGGUGGGGUAGUGGCUGACCAAGGCUUUGACGGGUAGGCGGCCUGAGAGGGUGACCGGGGACAAGGGGACUGAGGGAGGGAGCAGAGGGCGACGGGAGGCAAGGGGGGGGAACAUGGCGCGAUGGGCGGGAGGCUGAGAGGGAGGCGCUGCGGGCGUGAUGACGGACGUUGGGGUGAGAAAAGCGGUAGAAUGAGACGCGGCGGGACUGACGGUAGCGGGAGAAGAAGCACCGGCUAACUACGUG